AAAGGAAUAGACGGGGACCCGCACAAGCGGUGGAUUAUGUGGUUUAAUUCGAUGCAACGCGAAGAACCUUACCAAGCCUUGACAUCUUCGGCGAAGCUCUAGAGAUAGAGUGGAGGCUAUCCGAAAGACAGGUGGUGCAUGGUUGUCGUCAGCUCGUGUCGUGAGAUGUUGGGUUAAGUCCCGCAACGAGCGCAACCCUUGUCUUUAGUUACCAUCAUUAAGUUGGGGACUCUAGAGAGACUGCCGGUGACAAACCGGAGGAAGGUGGGGAUGACGUCAAAUCAGCAUGCCCCUUAUGGCUUGGGCGACACACGUAAUACAAUGGCGUAUACAAAGGGAAGCAAACCUGCGAAGGAGAGCGAAUCUCAGAAAGUACGUCUCAGUUCGGAUUAGAGUCUGCAACUCGACUCUAUGAAGUCGGAAUCGCUAGUAAUCGUGGAUCAGCAUGCCACGGUGAAUACGUUCCCGGGUCUUGUACACACCGCCCGU
rnacentral:rRNA from 1 species